rnacentral:tRNA from 2 species
GGGCUCAUGGUCUAGCGGUUAACAUCGUCUUCGGAGCGGAGGUCUCCGGUUCAAAUCCGGAUGAGCCCA